GAGUGCGAAAGCAUGGGGAGCAAACAGGAUUAGAUACCCUGGUAGUCCAUGCCGUAAACGAUGUCAACUAGCCGUUGGGGGAUUUGAUCCUUUAGUGGCGCAGCUAACGCGAUAAGUUGACCGCCUGGGGAGUACGGUCGCAAGACUAAAACUCAAAUGAAUUGACGGGGGCCCGCACAAGCGGUGGAGCAUGUGGUUUAAUUCGAUGCAACGCGAAGAACCUUACCUGGUCUUGACAUAGUGAGAAUCUUUCAGAGAUGAGAGAGUGCCUUCGGGAAUUCACAUACAGGUGCUGCAUGGCUGUCGUCAGCUCGUGUCGUGAGAUGUUGGGUUAAGUCCCGCAACGAGCGCAACCCUUUUCCUUAUUUGCCAGCACUUUUAGGUGGGAACUCUAAGGAUACUGCCAGUGACAAACUGGAGGAAGGCGGGGACGACGUCAAGUCAUCAUGGCCCUUACGACCAGGGCUACACACGUGCUACAAUGGUCGGUACAAAGGGUUGCUACACAGCGAUGUGAUGCUAAUCUCAAAAAGCCGAUCGUAGUCCGGAUUGGAGUCUGCAACUCGACUCCAUGAAGUCGGAAUCGCU
rnacentral:rRNA from 1 species